rnacentral:tRNA from 1 species
CCCAGUGGGUUUAAUGGUCUAUAAGUUCGUCUUGUAACCGGAAGGUCCUGGGUUCGAAUCCCGGCGGUGGGU